AGUGAACGCUGGCGGUAGGCCUAACACAUGCAAGUCGAACGGCAGCACAGUAAGAGCUUGCUCUUACGGGUGGCGAGUGGCGGACGGGUGAGGAAUACAUCGGAAUCUACUUUUUCGUGGGGGAUAACGUAGGGAAACUUACGCUAAUACCGCAUACGACCUACGGGUGAAAGCAGGGGAUCUUCGGACCUUGCGCGAUUGAAUGAGCCGAUGUCGGAUUAGCUAGUUGGCGGGGUAAAGGCCCACCAAGGCGACGAUCCGUAGCUGGUCUGAGAGGAUGAUCACCACACUGGAACUGAGACACGGUCCAGACUCCUACGGGAGGCAGCAGUGGGGAAUAUUGGACAAUGGGCGCAAGCCUGAUCCAGCCAUACCGCGUGGGUGAAGAAGGCCUUCGGGUUGUAAAGCCCUUUUGUUGGGAAAGAAAAGCAGCAGGUUAAUACCCCGCUGUUCUGACGGUACCCAAAGAAUAAGCACCGGCUAACUUCGUG
rnacentral:rRNA from 1 species